rnacentral:ribozyme from 1 species
ACGGCUCCCGGACUCGACUGGCGUCAGGAAAGUCCCCCCCCCCAGUCGCCAGUGGGAAGUGAGAUAGUGUGAGAUGGUCUCGACUCGAAACUCGAACCCCGCCUGCGCACACACGAUACUGCGCGCCCGUUCUCGAGCGCCCGUUGUGCGCACAUCGCACACUCUGCCCCGGUGACGUGGUACCAUGCGCGCGAGCGGGGCUGCGUGUACUUGAGAGUCGGCACGACCGGCCCCCCGCUGAUGUAAACUC